UAAGACACUUUGCCCAAAACUCUCUAAAACACCUACAACCACCACCGUCGGCUGCCGCCACCGCCGCUGCCGGCCACCGCCGCUGCCGGCCACCGCCGCUGCUUGCCGGCGCCUGUAUUGCCAACCACCAUUGCCGCUACCCGGCCUAUACUCGCUUUUCGUUAGUUCGUGUAACUAGCACAUGUUGGUUAAACCUCGGUGUCUCAACCGAGUAGUUACUAACCGAGGGUUUUUGGCCACCGUGAUGGUUCAAAAAACGAAGACCCAAAGAUAAAAACCGUGGACGCUAAACCGAGGAGUCAUGAAGUCAGUGGGAGUUGCUCGAGACGACUCGAUGCACUCAAGUCCAUCCUUAUGGUUGUUUGUGUAUUGUGACCCCGUGGCCCGUUUGAUCUUGCUAUUAGGCUCUAGCAAGAUCGAACAAUAUAUUUUGUAAUAGAUAGGGUUCUUUCCUUUAUUAUAUUUUGUAAAUAUUGUAAUAAACGAAGACCCGAAGAUAAAAACUGUGGACGCUAAACCGAGAAGUCAUGAAGUCAGUGGGAGUUGCUCGAGACGACUCGAUGCACUUAAGUCCAUCCUUAUGGUUGUUUGUGUAUUGUGACCCCGUGACCCGUUUGAUCUUGCUAUUAGGCUCUAGCAAGAUCGAACAAUUUUUUGGCGAUAUAGAUUUACAUAUUUAUCUUGCUAUUGUGGUUGCUUUUUAUCUUAUAAGUUGUUAUAACAUAACCAACCUAAAUACCAACAUGAUUUUAAAAGGAUUUUUAAAAUAUUGAAACAAUCACAUUAAAAAAGUUCUAAAUUGUUUAAACAACUUGUUAAAAUUUUGUUAUACACUACGUCAAAACUGAGCUUUAGCCACAUUUUUUUUUUCAAAAUCCGCUUGCCACACAUUAAAAAAUGUGUGGCUAAAGGUCAUUUUAAUAUUUUCAAACAACUUUAGCCACACAUUUUGUUAUUAUUGUGACCAUUAUAUACAACUCAAAUCUUGGAGGAUUACACAAAGGCAAAACAUCUGGAUAUACAUUUGCAACACUUUCAAGUCAAAAAGUAGUGAUUAUAUGGAUUUGAAGAUAAAAACCUGGAAUUAGUUCUUAGUUUAUGUGU
rnacentral:lncRNA from 1 species